GACGAACGCUGGCGGCGUGCCUAAUACAUGCAAGUCGAGCGGAAGUUGGAGAGCUUGCUCUUCAACUUUAGCGGCGGACGGGUGAGUAACACGUGGGCAACCUGCCCUGCAGAUCGGGAUAACUCCGGGAAACCGGUGCUAAUACCGAAUAGUUUUCGCCACCUCCUGGUGGCGUACGGAAAGACGGUUUCGGCUGUCACUGCAGGAUGAGCCCGCGGCGCAUCAGCUCGUUGGUGGGGUAACGGCCCACCAAGGCGACGAUGCGUAGCCGACCUGAGAGGGUGAUCGGCCACACUGGGACUGAGACACGGCCCAGACUCCUACGGGAGGCAGCAGUAGGGAAUCUUCCGCAAUGGACGAAAGUCUGACGGAGCAACGCCGCGUGAGUGACGAAGGUUUUCGGAUCGUAAAACUCUGUUGUGAGGGAAGAACAAGUACCACUUAACUACUGGUACCUUGACGGUACCUCACCAGAAAGCCACGGCUAACUACGUGCCAGCCGCCGCUGUAAUAC
rnacentral:rRNA from 1 species